GGUAACAUGGCCGAGCGGUCUAAGGCGCUACGUUCAGGUCGUAGUCUACUUCUGUGGGCGUGAGUUCGAAUCUCACUGUUACCA